rnacentral:rRNA from 1 species
AACGAACGCUGGCGGCGUGCCUAACACAUGCAAGUCGACGAGAAAGGGGUAGCAAUAUCCCGAGUAAAGUGGCGCACGGGUGAGUAACACGUAGGUAAUCUGCCAUCAGGACGGGGACAACCACGCGAAAGCGUGGCUAAUACCCGAUGAAGCUGCGAUACCGCAUGGUAUUGCUGUUAAAUACCGCAAGGUGCCUGAUGAUGAGCCUGCGCCCCAUUAGGUAGUUGGUGAGGUAACGGCUCACCAAGGCUUCGACGGGUAGCUGGUCUGAGAGGACGAUCAGCCACACUGGCACUGCGACACGGGCCAGACUCCUACGGGAGGCAGCAGUAAGGAAUAUUGCGCAAUGGGCGAAAGCCUGACGCAGCGACGCCGCGUGGGGGACGAAGGUCUUCGGAUUGUAAACCCCUUUCGGGAGGGAAGAUGGAACGGGUAACCGUUCGGACGGUACCUCCAGAAGCAGCCACGGCUAACUUCGUGCCAGCAGCCGCGGUAAUACGAAGGUGGCAAGCGUUGUUCGGAUUUACUGGGCGUACAGGGAGCGUAGGCGGUUCGGUAAGCCCUCUGUGAAAUCUCCAGGCUUAACCUGGAACAGUCGGAGGGGACUGCUGAGCUAGAGGACGGGAGAGGAGCGCGGAAUUCCCGGUGUAGCGGUGAAAUGCGUAGAGAUCGGGAGGAAGGCCGGUGGCGAAGGCGGCGCUCUGGAACGUUUCUGACGCUGAGGCUCGAAAGCGUGGGGAGCAAACAGGAUUAGAUACCCUGGUAGUCCACGCCUUAAACGAUGGAUACUAAGUGUCGGCGGGUUACCGCCGGUGCCGCAGCUAACGCAGUAAGUAUCCCGCCUGGGAAGUACGGCCGCAAGGUUG